rnacentral:rRNA from 1 species
GACGAACGCUGGCGGCGUGCUUAACACAUGCAAGUCGAACGGAAAGGCCCUGCUUUUGUGGGGUGCUCGAGUGGCGAACGGGUGAGUAACACGUGAGUAACCUGCCCUUGACUUUGGGAUAACUUCAGGAAACUGGGGCUAAUACCGGAUAGGAGCUCCUGGUGCAUGGUGGGGGUUGGAAAGUUUCGGCGGUUGGGGAUGGACUCGCGGCUUAUCAGCUUGUUGGUGGGGUAGUGGCUUACCAAGGCUUUGACGGGUAGCCGGCCUGAGAGGGUGACCGGCCACAUUGGGACUGAGAUACGGCCCAGACUCCUACGGGAGGCAGCAGUGGGGAAUAUUGCACAAUGGGCGGAAGCCUGAUGCAGCAACGCCGCGUGCGGGAUGACGGCCUUCGGGUUGUAAACCGCUUUCGCCUGUGACGAAGCGUGAGUGACGGUAAUGGGUAAAGAAGCACCGGCUAACUACGUA